rnacentral:tRNA from 1 species
GCUGGGGUUGUAGCUCAGUGGUAGAGUGCUUUCCUGGCAUGCAUGAGGCCCUGCGUUCAAUUCCCAGCCUGGCA